AUUGAACGCUGGCGGCAUGCCUUACACAUGCAAGUCGAACGGCAGCACGGGAGUAAUCCUGGUGGCGAGUGGCGAACGGGUGAGUAAUGUAUCGGAACGUGCCCAAUCGUGGGGGAUAACGCAGCGAAAGCUGUGCUAAUACCGCAUACGAUCUAUGGAUGAAAGCGGGGGAUCGCAAGACCUCGCGCGAUUGGAGCGGCCGAUAUCAGAUUAGCUAGUUGGUGGGGUAAAAGCUUACCAAGGCGACGAUCUGUAGCUGGUCUGAGAGGACGACCAGCCACACUGGAACUGAGACACGGUCCAGACUCCUACGGGAGGCAGCAGUGGGGAAUUUUGGACAAUGGGCGCAAGCCUGAUCCAGCAAUGCCGCGUGCAGGAUGAAGGCCUUCGGGUUGUAAACUGCUUUUGUACGGAGCGAAAAGGCUCUCUCUAAUACAGGGGGCUCAUGACGGUACCGUAAGAAUAAGCACCGGCUAACUACGUGCCAGCCGCCGCCGUAA
rnacentral:rRNA from 1 species